GGAGAGAGGGUUGCUUGUGGGUAAAUUGGUGGCAGGUCCUUCGUAGGAAACUUCAGCCUAAUUGCUUUUGAAAUAUGACUCUGCUUGGUAUGAUGUGUCGCAAGAUACCAAAUGAUGUGGAAAAUUCAUUAUAUGUACGGGGAGAAGCCGCUGGCCAAGCCAGGCUGGAGUGGGCCUUGGGCUCUGUCCCCUCUGCUGUCCUCACACUGUGACCCCAGGCAGGGGCCUCUCCUUCCCAGAGGUCGGUCUCGGGAUGGGUCACCCGCAUGACCUCCCCAGGCUCUGCUAUGCCCGGGGCAGCCUGGGCAGGUGAAGGAAUGAAGCCAAUGAAGCCAGCUGGCCAGGAAGAAGAAACGGGAGAUGAGAUGAUCUGGAGAUCUUUCUGGGCCUCAGGCAGAUGUUUCGUAGAGAAGAGCAGAGGGACAGCUGUUGGGCUGGCCUGGGGCAGGGGAGCCACGGUCCGACGACUCCCUGAAGACAGUCCCGGCUUGACAGUCCCGGCUCCACGGGGGAAGAUAUGCUCCAGUGUCCUGAGCUUCCCCAGGAAGGGAGGCCAGAUGGUGGCCCCAGGGAGACGCGGGGCUGCAUCCCUCUAAGUCCCAUCCAGACCUCGAGAUCUCGGGGUUUUGUGCUUGGGAGCACAACAAUAGGAU
rnacentral:lncRNA from 12 species